rnacentral:rRNA from 1 species
UACGUAGGGUGCAAGCGUUGUCCGGAAUUAUUGGGCGUAAAGAGCUCGUAGGCGGUUCGUCGCGUCGGCUGUGAAAACCCGGAGCUCAACUCCGGGCCUGCAGUCGAUACGGGCGGACUUGAGUGUUGCAGGGGAGACUGGAAUUCCUGGUGUAGCGGUGAAAUGCGCAGAUAUCAGGAGGAACACCGGUGGCGAAGGCGGUUCUCUGGGCCUUACCUGACGCUGAGGAGCGAAAGCAUGGGGAGCAAACAGG